rnacentral:rRNA from 1 species
AGCCUGAUGCAGCAACGCCGCGUGAGGGAUGACGGCCUUCGGGUUGUAAACCUCUUUUAGUAGGGAAGAAGCGAAAGUGACGGUACCUGCAGAAAAAGCACCGGCUAACUACGUGCCAGCAGCCGCGGUAAUACGUAGGGUGCAAGCGUUGUCCGGAAUUAUUGGGCGUAAAGAGCUCGUAGGCGGUUUGUCGCGUCUGCUGUGAAAUCCCGAGGCUCAACCUCGGGCUUGCAGUGGGUACGGGCAGACUAGAGUGCGGUAGGGGAGAUUGGAAUUCCUGGUGUAGCGGUGGAAUGCGCAGAUAUCAGGAGGAACACCGAUGGCGAAGGCAGAUCUCUGGGCCGUAACUGACGCUGAGGAGCGAAAGCAUGGGGAGCGAACAGGAUUAGAUACCCUGGUAGUCCAUGCCGUAAACGUUGGGCGCUAGAUGUAGGGACCUUUCCACGGUUUCUGUGUCGUAGCUAACGCAUUAAGCGCCCC